rnacentral:rRNA from 1 species
GUACUCUCCUGCGGGAGGCAGCAGUGGGGAAUAUUGCACAAUGGGCGCAAGCCUGAUGCAGCCAUGCCGCGUGUAUGAAGAAGGCCUUCGGGUUGUAAAGUACUUUCAGCGGGGAGGAAGGCGAUAAGGUUAAUAACCUUGUCGAUUGACGUUACCCGCAGAAGAAGCACCGGCUAACUCCGUGCCAGCAGCCGCGGUAAUACGGAGGGUGCAAGCGUUAAUCGGAAUUACUGGGCGUAAAGCGCACGCAGGCGGUCUGUCAAGUCGGAUGUGAAAUCCCCGGGCUCAACCUGGGAACUGCAUUCGAAACUGGCAGGCUAGAGUCUUGUAGAGGGGGGUAGAAUUCCAGGUGUAGCGGUGAAAUGCGUAGAGAUCUGGAGGAAUACCGGUGGCGAAGGCGGCCCCCUGGACAAAGACUGACGCUCAGGUGCGAAAGCGUGGGGAGCAAACAGGAUUAGAAACCCUUGUAGUCCCAU